AUUCUUGCAGGCGUGUAAACUAAUAAAGACGGGGACAAAUCACGUAUGAAAUGUGAGCAUUAAAUGCCACCUUUGAUGAAACAGCGGGUGGCAAACGGCUCCAUUGUGCCGGCAGAAUUUCCUCUUGAGUUGGAGCAUGCCGGGGAGUCGUUUCUUUGUGUGAGUACAGAAAAAGAGCAGUGCUCGGCAGAGAUUGCUGAUAUGUGCUCUUUUUUUUCUUCCUCCCUUCCUCACUGGAGCACUGCAACGCAAUGCGGAUACUGGGUGUCUGAGCCACUAGCCAGACACACUGGGGGGACGGUGGGGGAGGUGGGGGAGAGACAGGAGGAGGAGGAGGAUGGGGAAGGAGGCGGCGAAGCAAGUUCACAUCCAGCCUCGUGCUUCAGGACAACCGACGUCUGGGCGCGCUGGCAUUAUCCGAGCGAGCAGGUUCGCACAUUUUGGAGAAUUUUACGUCGACUGGAUAAGCGCACACUAAUUCCAGGCGCAGAUGUCUGUCUGUUGUUUAAAACCGAACCGAAAACACAUCGGUUUUGCCCUAAAAUAAAUCACAAUUCUGUAUUAUUCAACCAGUCCGCUUGGAGCGAAAUCCAAGCUUGAAAUUUUAUAUUCUCAAACUGUUACAACUGUUUUUUACUGCUCACUACACAAUAAAAUGAUUUAAAACGCUCCGAACUCGUCGUCUGAAGAGAUACUCUGUUGUUCCAUGCAUGCAAAGGGAAGCAGAGAAAACAAACCGCUAUUGAUAGCUGGCUCCGUACCCCGUUGGACUGCACCAAAUAACAAAUCAAAGAGCACUGCAGAGCAAGUCUUCAUACUCACCACAUGAGGAGACGGAUGGCGUCCAUACGAAGAGUGUGUGACUCCGCAGGGAAAGCUAGAAGGUUGUACAGUUAUCUCCAGGCUGUUUAUUAUGCGAAACCAUACAACCAACUACCUCACGCUGCAGAGCACCGGAACAGGAAGCGAUGGUGAGAUUGUCUGAUGAACGUUAACAGAUAUGACCUCUUGACCUGAUCAAAGGAACGACGUGUCUUCUGCUGACUUUGGCCAACUAAAGAUGUGACUUUUUUGUCAAUAAUAUAACUAAAAAAAGGUUGCACCUGAAGUAUUUUUUGAACGUUAUUCCUGUAAAAUGUUCGACAAUAGAGGAAAAUACGAAUUCUAGAUGCUGUAUACUGUCAUAUUAAAGAUUCACAUAAAAAAAAAACAGUAAUUUUGGGCUGUCAAAAUGCUGAUUAGUGUUCUAUUUAUGGACGUAUAAUCAUUUUGAAUGUUGCCCAUCCAUUUUGAUGGUACUAAAGCAUCUGAUGAAAACCCUCUCCAUCAUGUUAGAUCUGAAUUAUUUAAAUUCCAACUAAAAUAUUCUUUUGUUUGCUGUUAGUGGAUCUCUCCUCCGCAGUCCUGAUGUUAGUUAUUUAGUGUGCUGCACAUAUCUGUAACAAAAACCUUAAAAACUCGUAUGGGAUCAUUUUGCUUUGUGUAAUUACAUUUUGUAAUAUUGCCUCACUGCAUUGGAAUUUUUAUUGUCAGAAUUUAGCGUUAAAUUCAUUUUUAGUUUACUUUUUCACCUUCUAACUACGCCACAGUAGAUAUUUCUGUUUAGACAGUGUGUCCUUCUACUUAGCCUUGUUUAUUUUUGCCAAUAUUUUGUGUUCUUCUUACACGAAUUCCGUAUAGUUGUUGAAAUGUGCUAUAAGAAUACACUUUCCCUGCCUAUUCUUUAAAUUAAUUGCUUGUUGGAUUGUCUGAAACACCUUUCUGGUGCGCAACGCUGCCAGAGAGGUGCGGCUAAAAGCUGCUUGUAAUUUUCUGAGACAGACUUUGUGACCUUGUGGCCAGGCACGCCGAGUUGUCGUAGCAGGCAGCGUUUUUUCUUCUAGUGUGUACAACUGAGCACAACACACAAAUUCAAGGAGAGACCGACUGAAAGUGUGCUUCAUUAUCCACAUACGCGUUAACAGAAUUACUGAAUCUCCUUCCUCUCUCACACAGGUAUUCACACUCACGUUCACCAAAUUUACCACAUUCACACUCAUGCCGUGUUGCAUUUAUCUGUAAAUUGGGAACUGUGAUCAUUUGUGAAAUUUUGCCCUCCAUUAAAAGCAUUCUGAGGCUUCUACCUUGAA